CCUUCCUGUCCCUUCCUGAGUUCACUUGUUCCUUUCCCAGUUCCUUUGUACCUUCCUUUGUUCCUUAGAUCUUUCCUGAAUUCACUUGUUCCUUUCCUAGUUCCUUUGUACCUUCCUUUGUUCCUUAGUUCCUUCCUUCAUACCUUUGUUACUUUCUUUGUUCCUUCUGCACUCUCUUCCUUAGUUAAUUUGUUCCUCCCUUAGUUCCUUUCUUAGUUCCAUUUCCAUUAAUUUCAUUUUUUAAUUUCAUUUAACAGACACUUUUGUCAAAAGCAAUUUAAAAUAAGUACAUUUAUCACAAGAAAGAAACCAAAACACUAAACUAAAAAAGAAAAAAAUAGACUGGAGGAAUCCAGCCAAGAGUGAGUUGCAGAGGUCCAGGCGGGAGAUGACCAGCGCUUGGACCGGGACUUUCAUUGGGUCCAUGAAGACCAGAUCCUGCUAACAUUGUAGAGGGCAUUGAAUUACUUGGACUUCCUUGAUAGACUCCCACAGAGAGACUCCCUAAGUCUUUGUUCAGCUGUCCUGAUGCUGUAGUGACUAGCCCAUAUGUGCUUGUUUUACCUCAUGUAGGCUUAGCUCUGCCCUGCAAUUAAGCUUAUUUGCUACAACUUGCUUGGCUGAAACUGACCGAUAACACUCAGCUUAAACAGUUUCCCAACAAUUUACCCAUAAGGAUCUAGACACGUUUAAAACUAACCCUCCUCACAGAAUGCCUUAACACUGGAUCUACAAUUUCUUCGUACUCACCAGCAGUGGUUUCACAGCUUCUAUUCCCUGGACAGAAUGUAUCUUUGUUCCUUCCAUUGUUCCUUAGUUUCUUCCUUUGUUCUUUGCUUUGUUCCCUUGUUCCUUAGAUUCUUCCUUAGUUCCUUUAUUCCUCUGUUCCUCAGCUCCUUAGUUCACUUCUUUGUUACUUUGUUCUGUAGCGGCACAGCAAUGAGGAGUAGGCAGAGUGUAGUUUUGCUAGCUCUAGCCAGAGAUUCACCAUUUAUUGAACAUGCAAGAACAGCUUAACAGACGGGAAGUGUCUCCAGGCAAACACCCCUUCACUCACAGUGCCAACAUUUUUAUCAUCUUUGUUAACUCAACACCAUUUAACUGCAGAACAAAGGACAUGAACUAACACACUCAGUACUUAGUCACAUAGUCAGUACUCAAUACUUAGUCACAUUACAGCCAUAGUUCGACUAUGUUACUCAAUCGGACAACUGCAACUGUCCGAGUAUACAUGCUGGUGAGAAAAUCGAAUUAUUGGCAGAAGCAUGUUAUACCCCGGUACAAUGGGUGGCACUGAACCCAUUUCAACUAAUAAUAAUACAUUUUAUAUAUAUAAGCGCCUUUCAGGUCACUCAAGGACACUUUACAGAAACAAACAGUAGUCAAGCAGCAAAAUGAAAUAUACAAUUAAAGUAUACAUAAAACAAAUAAAACAUUACAAAUCAUCAGGGUAAGCGAUUUUAAAAAGGUGAGUCUUCAGUUGUGAUUUAAAAGUAGUAAUAGAUGUGCACUCCACAGUGUAGGGCCAGCGACACUGAAGGCCCUGUCACCCAUAGAGCAUAGUCUAAAGGGGGGGAAUGGAGAGGAGAUGUGCAUGAAGACAUUUAAAAACCACAAGAAAUGUUUUAAAAGUCAUUCAGUAUUGGACUGGGAGCCAAUGCAGGUGCUGAAGGGUGGGGGUGAUGUGUUCCUAGGACCGGGUGUGAGUUAGGACUCCGGCAGCUGAGUUUUGGACAUACUGAAGUUUUUAUAGUCUUUGGUUGGGCAAUCCGAGGAGAAGGCUAUUGCAGUAAUCCAGUCUGGAUGUAACGAAGGCAUGAAUGAGUGUUUCUGUGACAGAGUGAGAUAGAGAGGGGCAGAGUCUGGAGAUGAUCUUAAGAUGGAAGAAGGCAGUUUUUUUUUUUUAUGUUUUUGAUAUGUGAUUCAAAGCAGAGGGUAGAGUCAAAGGUGAUACCUAAGUUUCUAACUUCAGCAACAGAGGAUGUGAUAAAACCAGGAGAAGCUCAGGUGGGAGGUUUUGCUGAAAGUGGCUGGGGAAGCAAUGAGGAUGACUUCAGAUUUUCCUGGUUGAGUUUGAGGUAGUUGCAGUUCAUCCAGUUGUUGAUCUCAUGAAGGCAGUCAAUCAGGUUGGAUGGCGGUAGAGUAUCAGACGGUUUCGAGUGAAUGUAUAGUUGUGUGUCAUCAGCAUAGCAGUGAAAGUUGAGUCCAUGCCGGGGGACGAUGUGACCAAGAGGGAGAAUGUAAAUGAUGAAAAGUAAUGGGCCAAGAACUGAGCCCUGUGGAACACCAUGAGAAAGGGGAGAUGUGAGCGACUUAAAGCUGCUACUUGACACAAACUGUUGUCUGGCUGUGAGGUACGACUUGAACCAUGAAAGAGGGGUGCCAUUGGUGCCAAUCAAUGUUUCUAGUUGGUUCAGCAGAAGGGUGUGACAGACAGUAUCAAAGGCAGCAGUGAGAUCCAGGAGGAUGAGUAUGUUCAGGUGACCAGAGUCAGCGGUUAAAAGCAGGUCAUUAAUGAGCUUAGUUAGUGCAGUUUCUGUACUAUGUUUUUCCCUAGACCGGAUUGAAACUCUUCCCAUAGGUUGUUGCCUGACAUAUGGACCUGUAGCUGACAAACAACUGUGUGAGUUUGGUGAGAAAAGGGAGAUUGGAAAUUGGUCUGUAGUUGUUUAAGUUCCAGUUUUUUUUUCAGUAUUGGGGUGACAGCGACAGUUUUUAGACAGGUGGGAACAGAACCAGACAGGAGAGUUGUAUUAAUGAUUUUUGUCAGGAGGGAGCAGACCACAGGCAGACAGGAUUUAGUCAGCGGAGUGGGCAUGGGGUCCAGAAGGCACGUAGUGGGCAAUUUGUGACGAGGUCAGACACAAACUGUUCAUCUACAGCAGAGAAGGCUGAAAAACAACAGAAAGGAAAAGGGCAGGGGGUGGUGAAAGCAUUAAAUUGAGAUGUUGCAUGGUGUAGCAGCUGGUAGAUGUUAGUAGUUUUACUGUCGAAGAAGUCCAUGAAGUCACAGCACAGUUUAGUGGAGGCAGCCAGUGGGAAUUGUUUAGCCGGUUGGAGUAGGUUAUUGAUGGUGCGAAAGAGGGUUCUGGGGUUACCUUGUCCUUUAGAAAUUAUAGAAGAGUAGUAGGUGUUCUUGGCAUGAUUCAGUGCUUCUUUGUAGGUGGAAACAUAGUCUUUGUAGGCUAAGGCAUGAACAGUUAGGCCAGUUUUUCUGCUGAGAUGCUCUAGUUGGCGACAAGCGGCUUUCAUUUUGCGUUGCUCAGCUGUGAACCAUGGUGCAGAGUGGCAGAAAGACACAUUUCAUGAUGUAAGUGGGGCAGGGUGAUCCAGUGUUUCAGAGAGGAGGGUAUUAUAUGUUGAGACCAGAUCGUCUGUUGAUGAGAGGAUGUAAUCACUGCUGAGCUGAGUGUCCAACAUGUCCAGUACAGACGGUAUACUUAUGUUCUUGAGAUUCCUGCAGGUUAUAGUACGAGAUGCAUGUAGACGCUGAGGUGGGGCAGGGAGUUCGAUAUUAAAGAGGACGGCCUUGUGGUCCGAGACUGCAAGGUCCAAGCCAUGAAGGUUGGAGGGAGAUAUGCCAGAAGAACAGACAAGGUCAAGUGUAUGACCUUUUGUGUGAGUAGCAAAGUUAAUAAACUGCGAGAAAUCUAGUGCAUGGAGCAGGUUUAAAAACUCAGCAGCAAAUGGGCAAUGUUUAGAGUCAACAUGAAUGUUCAGAUCACCAACAAGUAAAACAGCAGGGUACAGAGGACAGACAGACAUAAUUAGCUCAGAGAGUUCACUAAUAAAAACAGAAGAUGAACUGGGAGGACGGUAGAUAAGUAAGAGUAACAGAGGCUGGGGACCAGAAAAUUUUAGGGCAAGACAUUCAAAAGAUGCAGCAUUUUGUAAGGGCACGGUCACGACUUCAUGCAUCUGGCGAUAGAGCAUAACUAGUGGUAAUAGAGCCGCCUCCGGCUGACCUCUUUACAUCACCAGCAACAACAAACUCAUCAUUGGAGAAAGAUGGCAUACGAAGAGCAAGAAGAAGCUACAACUUUGUACAUUUCAUAUAUGGUGCACAUGAUAAUUACACAAACUAGAUGCACAGUAUAGCACUCUUGCUUGCAGUGAUUUUGGAGGAAAGAAGCUGCCACUGCCACUGUCCUUCUACUUUCAGCUCACGGCCCCGGGAAAAAAAAUCUCGAGCCUGUGCAGAACACAAAAUCCAAAUCCAAUCUGAUAGAAUGUAUACAUGCACGAGUAAUGCGACUAGCAGUUGAGUAAUCUAGGUGUUUUAAUCCGACUAUGAGAAAUCCGAUCUGGUCCGAUUUUAGUCAGACUAAGACGUAUACAUGCAUCUUAAAAAUCCGAUCAUAUUCAGUCUAACACAGUAAUUUGGUUUUCUGGAGUGUCAUGUAAACACAUUAACUGUUGCAGCCAUUUUACACAUACUGUACUGCACAAACUGUAAUUACGACACCAACAGAAUACCCACAGGUCAUUGUUAGCGUUACAGUUCUUUAGUCCCUUCCUUUGUUCUUUGCUUUCAUUCCUUCUUCCUUCGAUCCUUCCUUUGUUCCUUUCUUAGUUCCUUUAUUUGUUCCUUUGUUCCUUCCUUUGUUCCAUAGUUGGUUCCUUAGUUCCUUCCAUUGUUCCUUUGCUCCUUCCUUUGUUCCAUAGUUGGUUCCUUAGUUCCUUUGUUCCUUCCUUUGUUCCUUCCUUUGUUCCUUAGUUGGUUCCUUAGUUCCUACUAUUAUUAUUGGCUAUUAUUAUUAUUAUUAUUAUUAUUAUUAUUAUUCCUUUCUGUUCCUUCCUUCCUUCCUUCCAAUGAUUGGUAGAUUUCAUACUGUAAACCAACUUUCAAGCUCCAAACACACACCUACUGUAUUACAGAUUGUAGAUGGGAUGCUACACUUGCAGCUCUAUUUAUGGGCUAGAAUUUCACUAACACAAAUGAAUAGCAGAUUAUGAUAAUUUUCCAUAUUUCCUAUUAUAUAUUGUGCCUCCCUAAAAAUGUGAAAGAGGCAUAUCUUUUACAGAUAUGGUGAAGUAGAAGACUGUCAUCCCGAGACAAAGGACAGCAUCAGUUGUUUUCUCAAAUGCCCCAAAACAUCACAUUUAUCUUUGAUUGGCAAAGGCCCUAGUGUUACAUUUCCCCAGAAAACAGUACCUGAAAGACAGGGGUCACAGGACAGGAACUAACAGCGCACUGCACAAAUCACAAAAGGUUAAUAGCAAACUGGGAAUACAACCCGCUGCCAGCCACUAAUUCUAUCAAACUGAGAAAUGAACAAAAAACAUUGGACCCAAAAACCAAAGGUGAAGUUUGAGUUACUGAUCAGGGGGGAAACAAAAUGUAUAUAAAUUGUCCGCACUCUAAUUCUAUCAAAAUGAUAGAUGAACAAAAAACAUUGGACCCAAAAACCAAAGGUGAAGUUGGAGUAACUGAUCAAAAUGUAUAGAAACUGUCCAAAAGAAAGAAAGCUCAAACACUCAAUCCAGAUUUUCACCCCAAACAGAAAACGCAGAGAGCCAGUUGAUGGUGUUGACUCCCUGGAACACACAGCCAACUGAGCAGCGGAACUGCAACCCCAUUAUAUAGUCUCCCAGCUGACUGACUGCAGCCAGUUGAGGGAGAACAUCACGGGUGCACCCAGUAGCUUUUGUGUUUUGUGUUUGGUUCCUUUUAAUCAUGACUAUGCUCUGCUAUGUCAGCUUUCCUGAUGUCUGGAGAGGUUCUUGACUGAGUGAACAUUUCCAACACACCUGUUUCUCUACGUCCUUUCUUAUCCAGCCUUUAGUCCAAGCUAACCAAUGUGAUCCUCUACACCUAAGCCACACAACCACAAACCUCCCUUAUGUGGCAACACUCAGAGAUUGAUGGCUCAGAGAUUUGACCGGCAUAUGUUUCGCCUAAACUGAGGCUCCAGGUUUUUGCACAAAUCCAUAAGCAGUGCUCGUGGCAAUCCGAAGCAACUCAGCAGCCGUUCGUCUAUCUCAUCAAACACAUCUGUGUGACCUCUACAAACGCCCUCUCUCACUGGGGCCUGGUUUGUCAAAGCAUCUAGAAGCAGUGUUUUUUCAUUUUGCUAUAAUUUAACAAUGUUUCCUUGCAUUAGACAAACAAAUUGUGGAUUGUGUAAACAAAUGUUUUUGUCACCAAAAAAAGAGUAGAAAUAAGAAAACAUUGGUGAAUCCCACAAAUCAGUGGGUACUAACAAAAUAGGAGAAAAUCGCAGAUAGAAACAAAAAUAAGACAAGAUUUGUUAACCUAUAACCAGAACCUUAUAAAGCCAUUCCUGCAUAUUAGUUAGCUCACAAAACUGACUUUUACAUGGAAACCCUGAAGAUUGAGCAGAGACUGCUUUGAGCUGAGAGCUGAGAGGCUGAUUAAAGCUGCAGAGACCACACCGACUGCCCUCGUGUUCAUCACAGAUCGAGAGACUGAUGAACCUGCUUUUCUGUGCAGAGGUGACAGCACCUCAGUGUAUAUUGAGCGAGACGAUUUUAUGUGGUUCCAUGUUGGCUGAUUCUCUGCAGUGCAGCUCCCACUGCCAGCAUGCUACACCAAGACCAGUGUUCAGGUCCUUGAAAAUCUGGAACACCAGUUUUAUGCAGUCUUCUCCCUGCAUUCAAACCCACUUUACA